rnacentral:pre_miRNA from 1 species
GACCGUUGCUGCAUCGGCCAACGGCGAGGCCGAGGCCACCAGCUGAAACUAGUGACCAUGGGCUCUCCGUUGGUCGAUCUGACUGGCCGA